rnacentral:rRNA from 1 species
UUAAACUAUUAAAUAAAAGUUAAUUUAUUCAAAAAAAAUAAAAUAUUAAUAAAAUAAUUUAUAUAAAAAUUUAAUUUUUAUUAGUGAAAUAAAAAAAAUUAUAAAUUUAUAUAAUUAAAUGAAAUAUAAUUUUGAAAUUUAAAAGAAUAAACUAGGAUUAGAUACCCUAUUAUAGUAAAAUAAAAAAAAAAUAUUAAAGUAUUAAAUGUUAUAUCAUUAAAUUUAUAAGAUUUGGCGGUAUUUUAUCCAAAUUAGGGGAACUUGUUUAGUAAUUGAUGAACCACGAUAAGAAUUACUUAAUUUAAUAUUUAUGUAUUGCUGUUUAAAAAUAUAUUUUAAGAAUAUAAAUUAGAAUUUAAAAAAUAUAAAAUAAUUCAAGUCAAAAUAUAGUUUAAUUAAGAUAAAAUGAGUUACAAAAAAAUUAAUUUAAAUGAAUUUUUAUAUUUAAUUAUAAAAUGAAGGUGGAUUUAAAAGUAAAUUUAAUAAAUAAAUUAAGUUGAAAUUUUGUUUUAAAAU